AGGGCACUCUAAGGAGACUGCCGGUGACAAACCGGAGGAAGGUGGGGAUGACGUCAAGUCAUCAUGGCCCUUACGGCCAGGGCUACACACGUCAUACAAUGGUAGUACAAAGGGAAGCCAACCCGCGAGGGGGAGCCAAUCCCAGAAACCCGAUCGUAGUCCGGAUCGCAGUCUGCAACUCGACUGCGUGAAGUCGGAAUCGCUAGUAAUCGUG
rnacentral:rRNA from 1 species